UACGGAGGGUGCGAGCGUUGUCCGGAAUCACUGGGCGUAAAGGGCGCGUAGGCGGCGCGACAAGGCGGCGGUGAAAGUCCGGGGCUCAACCCCGGAUCGGCCGUGGCGACUGUCGCGCUGGAGCACCGUAGAGGCGGGUGGAAUUCCGGGUGUAGCGGUGGAAUGCGUAGAGAUCCGGAAGAACACCGGUGGCGAAGGCGGCCCGCUGGGCGGUGGCUGACGCUGAGGCGCGACAGCGUGGGGAGCAAACAGG
rnacentral:rRNA from 1 species